rnacentral:rRNA from 1 species
AGAGUUUGAUCCUGGCUCAGGAUGAACGCUGGCGGUAUGCUUAACACGUGCAAGUCGGACGGGAAGUGGUGUUUCCAGUGGCAGACGGGUGAGUAACGCGUAAGAACCUGCCCUUGGGAGGGGAACAAUAGCUGGAAAUGACUGCUAAUACCCCAUAGGCUGAGGAGAAAAAGGGGGAAUCUGCCCAAGGAGGGGCUCGCGUCUGAUUAGUUAGUUGGUGAGGCAAUGGCUUACCAAGGCGACGAUCAGUAGCUGGUCUGAGAGGAUGAUCAACCACGCUGGGACUGAGACAUGGCCCAGACUCCUACGGGAGGAAGCAGUGGGGAAUUUUCUGCAAUGGGCGACAGCCCGAUGGAGCAAUGCCGCGUGAAGGCAAAAGGCCCACGAGUCAUGAACUUCUUUUCUCGGAGAAGAAAAAUGACGGUCUCUGAGGAAUAAGCAUCAGCUAAAUCUGUGCCAGCAGCCGCGGUAAU